CUUUCGAACGAGGCAGGGACUCUCGCUCUGUCGCCUUUGGAGUGGUCCCGGGCCUUGCCCCAGGGGUGGAGAAAUGGCCGCUCACACCUACCUGUGGGGCCAAGCGGAUGGAAGGCCCCGAGACAGCUAGUCCCGGCCUACUGGCAAGAGCUACUCAGGUCGCUGCCGGAUGGGCCGUUGCCUUGGGUUACGACCACGCUGGGGGCGGGACCGCGGCGGAAGUGACGUAGCCCAACAAAGCCUAGCACUGGCGAGGCGGUUCGUGGCAUCUCCUAUCCGCUCCGGGCGCUGCCGCCGGAAGGGCCAGCGACGGAGGGUCUCAGAUGGCGGGGCUUGAGGCCCACCCGGGCUCUCGGGUCGGCGAGUCCCGUUGGGGAGCCCUUGUGCCUGCUAGGAUAUUUAGCAGAUGCCAGGCGGCCAGAAACGUCCUCACUUUUCUCCCUCGGCCCUCUGGGGAACCGCCGUGAGCGUUUCCCACGGACACAAACUUAACAGGCCCAGAACGUCCAGGGAGGACGCGUUGUGAGCCUCAAAGAGCCCACUUACGUGACCGACAGCACCAGGCCGACGGGCACUCGCUGAACUGCUGGCCCGGAGCAGCACAGCUCUUAAGUGGGCAGUGGCAUCUUUUAUACAAAUAAAGGAAGGUGGCCCCACGUCCCUAAAACAACAGCUUGCUGAAGAGAGAUCGCAAAGCAUCCCCCACUCCAGCUCGGGUCUGACUCCAAAGCCCUUCUGCUUUAGAAAGUGUGACUAUUUCUGCUGUAGAAAACCGGUAUCUAGGCCAGGCGCGGUGGCUCACGCCUGUAAUCCCAGCACUUGGGAGGCCGAGAUCUAUUGAAAACAGCUGGGCACCGUGGCUCACACCUGGAAUCCCAGCUGAGGCAGGAGGCUCCCUUGAGCCCAGGAGUUGAAGGUUGCAGUAAGCUAUGAUUGUGUCACUGCACUCCAGCCUGGGAAACAGUGCAAGACCUUGCAUAUUAGAAAAAAGUUUCUGGGAAGUAUACCAAAAGUCUUAACUAAGAUUUGCUAAAUGAAUAUUAAUUAAAUAACCUAACGGCAAGUACAUGGGGAAGUUGGAGGAUCUAGAACCUGACUUCCUUCACACUAACUAUUCCUGCAUUUAGCAGGUAAAAGCCCGAUAGCAUGAUUGAGUGGAAACAUGAAGGGACAAGGGUUUGGCUAGUUAUGUUUAUAAAAAGUCAACAUAGGAAUUGAGUCAAGAUACCAGAAACUCUACUUAUAGUAAGAUCCCACUUUGCAAAAACGGAGAAUGGAAGCGUACAGAACUGUACCUUCUCCUCAAUUUUGCUGUGACUGUAAACUUCCUCUAACACAUAAAAUGUAUUUUAAAGAAAAAAA
rnacentral:lncRNA from 1 species